rnacentral:rRNA from 1 species
UACGGAGGGGGCUAGCGUUGUUCGGAAUUACUGGGCGUAAAGCGCACGUAGGCGGAUCUUUAAGUCAGGGGUGAAAUCCUGGAGCUCAACUCCAGAACUGCCUUUGAUACUGAGGAUCUUGAGUUCGGGAGAGGUGAGUGGAACUGCGAGUGUAGAGGUGAAAUUCGUAGAUAUUCGCAAAGAACACCAGUGGCGAAGGCGGCUCACUGGCCCGAGUACUGACGCUGAGGCACGAAAGCGUGGGGA